UUUUAAGUCGCACCACACACGAGCAAAAGCUAUGUUCAUGUGAACGCGAAACGUUAGGGAGCACUGAAAUCACGGCGCAAGCGGACAAGUCAAGAGACCCCAAAACAUGUCUCCUGCCUGCGGAUUUCCCAUUUUGAAGAGUGGUGUAGGGAGGGUGUUCGCUUGCCGGGUAGGCUUUGGUAAUGCCUGCCGCAUGGUCUCCAACCAAUCUGCAUGCGGCACUGGAUCCCGCUUCCAUGCUUGGGCUCGCCUGCAGGUAACUGACCGAGUGGCCAAUGACUGGCGGGGGAGGAGGACCAUGCGAUCUUACUACUCAACUCACGCAGAAAGCCUGUAGAAUGCUUGGCCGCGGACAAAAUGAAAACUGCAAGGAAUUUCAGUGAGAAAAACCUCACCAGGGGCCUCAGUCCGGCAGUCUCCAGCGCGACAGCUAUUCAGUAAACGCGUACGCGCUGCGUGUUGAUA
rnacentral:lncRNA from 1 species